GACGGUACUUGAGGAAUAAGCCACGGCUAAUUCCGUGCCAGCAGCCGCGGUAAUACGGGAGUGGCAAGCGUUAUCCGGAAUUAUUGGGCGUAAAGCGUCCGCAGGCGGCCUUGUAAGUCUGUCGUUAAAGCGUGGAGCUCAACUCCAUUUCAGCGAUGGAAACUACAAGGCUUGAGUGUGGUAGGGGCAGAGGGAAUUCCCGGUGUAGCGGUGAAAUGCGUAGAUAUCGGGAAGAACACCAGUGGCGAAGGCGCUCUGCUGGGCCAUAACUGACGCUCAUGGACGAAAGCCAGGGGAGCGAAAGGGAUUAGAUACCCCUGUAGUCCUGGCCGUAAACGAUGAACACUAGGUGUCGGGGGAAUCGACCCCCUCGGUGUCGUAGCCAACGCGUUAAGUGUUCCGCCUGGGGAGUACGCACGCAAGUGUGAAACUCAAAGGAAUUGACGGGGGCCCGCACAAGCGGUGGAGUAUGUGGUUUAAUUCGAUGCAACGCGAAGAACCUUACCAGGGUUUGACAUCCUGCGAAUCCCUUGGAAACGAGGGAGUGCCUUCGGGAGCGCAGAGACAGGUGGUGCAUGGCUGUCGUCAGCUCGUGUCGUGAGAUGUUGGGUUAAGUCCCGCAACGAGCGCAACCCACGUCUUUAGUUGCCAGCAUUCAGUUGGGCACUCUAGAGAGACCGCCGGUGAUAAACCGGAGGAAGGUGUGGAUGACGUCAAGUCAUCAUGCCCCUUACAUCCUGGGCUACACACGUACUACAAUGCUACGGACAAAGGGCAGCAAGCUCGCGAGAGUAAGCAAAUCCCAUAAACCGUGGCUCAGUUCAGAUCGUAGGCUGCAACUCGCCUACGUGAAGGAGGAAUCGCUAGUAAUCGCAGGUCAGCAUACUGCGGUGAAUACGUUCCCGGGCCUUGUACACACCGCCCGUCACACCAUGGAAGUUGGCCAUGCCCGAAGUCGUUACUCCAACCCUUGUGGAGGAGGAC
rnacentral:rRNA from 1 species